rnacentral:lncRNA from 1 species
UUAACUAGAAAGUCGCACUCUAUUCGUUGUAUAACCCUAACUGAGCUGAAACUCAUCUCAUAUUUUCAGCUGGUGAUUGGCUCUAAUACCAAUAAUGACACCCUACUUUCUAGGAGGUCAUCUGUCUUACGACUACUCUAGCUCUAGCACACUUAACUCUUUUAACUUCUUAGGCCUAAACACUGCCCAAAAUGCUAUAGCCAAGUUUAAAAUUCACAACC